UCUCCUCCUUUAGCCACGUGUAAAAGCAACCCCACUUUCUCCUUCUUCUCCAUCGAUCCCCUUUGAACAGUCAACCAACAUUUCUUCAGCUAAGUUUCUCUCAUUCCCCGCUUUAAUCUCUGCUCCUGCCUCUAUCUUCUCCAGAUUAUCCAUCGCAGUAGCUAUAUUCAUGACAAUACCCUUCCCAUUUUCAGAUCCUUGUCCGCAAGGAUCUAACUCAAAUUUCUUCUUGAACGUCUUCACGUCCUCCCAACUCGAGAUCUGCUCAUCAUCUCUAGCCCACUGGACCAAGAUUUGCGGAACUUCAGUACCAUUCCUCGCAAUAACACGCUGCUGAAGGAUGGAAAAAGGAGUAAUCUUGAAGUGCCCCUCCACAUCAACCUCUGGUAGCUCUGCAGAUGGCACAAUCCGCUUUCCUAAGCACUUCUUAAGGAGGGAGACAUGAAAAACAGGAUGGAUCCGCGACCCUUCUGGCAAAGACAGCUUGUAGGCAACAACUCCUACUUUCUCCAAGAUCUCAUAAGGUCCGUAGUAGCGAGAGGCGAGCUUCUGGUUUCGCCGGAGAGAAACUGAAUUCUGACGGAAGGGUUGCAAUUUCAGGUGGCAGUCCAGUAGGCUCAGCAAAAAUAUCAUGGAACUCAUCCAAAAGAUUCCUGAGCUCUGAGUUAAGGACUUCAGGAUCUGAUGGAAUAUUGGAGCUCAACAGGUUUCUCAACAAACGGAGUUUCACCAAGGACAGAGUUCUUACCUCCAGUUUUUCCCAUGUUAAGCAGCUGGAGUUGGAUGUUUGCCAAGGUUUUGUGUGCUUAAGAGUAGCAGCCUGAAGGAACUGAUCCAGCUUCUUCUGGGCUUCCAGAAGAUCGUGCAAACGAGUGCCAUCUGCCAUGUUCCCAGAUUUUGCCAAAUAAAAGCAAGAACCUAGGCUCUGAUAUACCAAAUGUUAUAGAUCUAUGCUUUCAAUGAUGUAACAGUAGUAGAUCGGGUGAUUAAAUGUAAUAAAAAAGUAAUCUUGAUGAAGAAAG